rnacentral:rRNA from 1 species
AGUGAACGCUGGCGGUAUGCCUAACACAUGCAAGUCGAACGGCAGCACAGUAAGAGCUUGCUCUUACGGGUGGCGAGUGGCGGACGGGUGAGGAAUACAUCGGAAUCUACUUUUUCGUGGGGGAUAACGUAGGGAAACUUACGCUAAUACCUCAUACGACCUACGGGUUGAAUCAGGGGAUCUUCUGACCUUGCGCGAUUGAAUUAGCCGAUGUCGGAUUAGCUAGUUGGCUGGGUAAAGGCCCACCAAGGCGACGAUGCGUAGCUGGUCUGAGAGGAUGAUCAGCCACACUGGAACUGAGACACGGUCCAGACUCCUACGGGAGGCAGCAGUGGGGAAUAUUGGACAAUGGGCGAAAGCCUGAUCCAGCAAUACCGCGUGGGUGAAGAAGGCCUUCGGGUUGUAAAGCCCUUUUGUUGGGAAAGAAAAGCAGCAGGUUAAUACCCCGAUGUUCUGACGGUACCCAAAGAAUAAGCACCGGCUAACUUCGUG